CCUCCGGCCGCCUCCCCGCGCCCGGAGCCGCCGGCACCGCACGGCCCGGGAGCCUGCGGCGUCGCGUCUGCCCCCCGAGCGGGACGCCGCGGAAAACCCCGAGUAGCGGCGGAGCCCGAGCAGGCUCCUGAGCAGGGACCCGGAGCGGUGCGUCGCUGCUCACCUGCUCCUUUAAGGAGUUACACACGUGGGCGUUUUACAGAAGGGUCUAUUUUGUGAGCUUCACCGCGUGCAUUUUUCUCUCCUGAGACGUCCAGCCUGCAGCGAAGACCUCUGCGCCUCCGGCUGCAGUAAGGUUGUACUGCCCCCAGGAUUUUCAGAUGUGGGGCGAGAAAGACGUUCUCUCCACGCGCCGCCUCGUCCCGGAGCCCGCCGACGCGCAGCCGCACCGCGCUCCGCUCUCCUCCCCCGUCCGCAGUUAGCCCGUCGGAGGAGAGUUCGGUCUGAGCAAUGCAGCUCCUCCCCGGCUGUUUCGGUUUUAUCCCCUUACUCUGCAGCAGCCCAGGCCGGCGAAGAGCUGCCGGCGGCCGGGCGCCUCCCGGCCCCGCUGUCGCGCCCGGGCUGCGUCCGCCCUUCUCGCAGCCCUCGGGCUCGCGCCCAGCCGCCGGCGGUCACGUUGCAGAGAGCCUUGGGUGCUCUAAAAGCGAUUGCAUCACGUCCUGCAGGCUCAACUACGGCUAUCUUAUCUGAAUAUUCUUUAAUGGUAUUUUUUUUUUUUUUCACAAAGAAGGCUACUGUGUUUUGUUGACCAAAUCUCUUACGUACAUCCUGGCUUACAGAAUCUUUGCUCCCAGUUUCUGCAAUAGAUGAGUAAGAACAGCUGUGUGUUGGUGGUGAAGGAGGAGCCGCAAAACAUAACCUAGUUAUAGAGGACACUUGAUCAGUGCAUAGCUUAUCCUCUCCGCCUGCAUCCUCUGGCCCGGCCCGGCAGAGCUUUAGUAGCUGUAGCCAAAGAAACUCUCUGCGAAGCCUUCAGCGGCACGCUGCAGCAGCGCUUCGUGGGACGGGCAGCGUCCGACCGCCCGAGCAACUUUCACAAUUUAUGAAACCACAGAUUCCCUCUAAAAUAGUGCACAAGUCCAUUCUAAGAAACCCAUAGAAAGACUUUACUAAGAAGCAGCAUACCUGUGGCAAACUUCGGUAGUGACCUAUAUCGGGUGCAGGAGGGUUUGUGCGCAGUCAUCGGUGGCCCUUACGUCAGCCCGUGUUUUUUCUGUACGCGCAGCCACAGGUGCACGGAGAAAGCACGUUGGGAAAAAGGGCUGAGCCAGGCUCGGAGCGAGCGCUGGGGGCAAGCGUCGCUGCCUUCCGCAGCGACGGGGCUCCUGGGGACGAGGUGGUGACGCUCGGUGAGAGCGGUCAGUGUCCGCGGCACGCGCCUCUGCCGAGCCGAGCCGAGCCGAGCCGGGACGUGGCUGAAUGCGGGGUGCCCGCUCGCCAGACUUUAUUUAUCAUGUACUUCUCUUCUGCAGAAGCUUUACAGACACUUCUGUCAUAAAAACUCUUAAUAAAUCCGUUACGAGAUCUAAUCUAGAUACGGAGCUUUAGUGACUGCUUUACCCAUUGGCUUUGGUGUGUACCCAAACUCUCGCCCCUGUAAAAUUAAACUUUGCAAAACCUGCUCUGAACAGUGGGAUUAGAGGUCAGGAAUAAAAGAAACUGCUCAACAUUAUCCCUUCAUCAGUAGCUUAUUAACAGAAAUUGUAAUUUCCUGAAAUAAAUAUAUAGUCAUUAUGAAAACAAUUAUUUUAAAUGAUUUAAUAUAUUUAUAAAUGGAUAACAGAAUGAACUAUGCAAAUAAAUA